rnacentral:rRNA from 1 species
UCUCAGGGAAGAACACAAUGACGGUACCUGAGGAAUCAGCAUCGGCUAACUCCGUGCCAGCAGCCGCGGUAAUACGGAGGAUGCAAGCGUUAUCCGGAAUGAUUGGGCGUAAAGCGUCCGCAGGUGGCUGUGUAAGUCUGCUGUCAAAGAGCAAAGCUCAACUUUGUAAAGGCAGUGGAAACUACACGGCUAGAGUGCGUUCGGGGCAGAGGGAAUUCCUGGUGUAGCGGUGAAAUGCGUAGAGAUCAGGAAGAACACCGGUGGCGAAGGCGCUCUGCUAGGCC